rnacentral:rRNA from 1 species
UACGUAGGGUGCAAGCGUUAAUCGGAAUUACUGGGCGUAAAGCGUGCGCAGGCGGUUGUGCAAGACAGAUGUGAAUCCCCGGGCUCAACCUGGGAACUGCAUUUGUGACUGCACGGCUGGAGUGCGGCAGAGGGGGAUGGAAUUCCGCGUGUAGCAGUGAAAUGCGUAGAUAUGCGGAGGAACACCGAUGGCGAAGGCAAUCCCCUGGGCCUGCACUGACGCUCAUGCACGAAAGCGUGGGGAGCAAACAGG